rnacentral:tRNA from 3 species
GCCAGCAUAGCUUAGUGGCAAAGCACGUCAUUGGUAAUGACGAGACCGUGGGUCCGAUUCCCACUGCUGGCUCAA